rnacentral:sRNA from 1 species
CACCUGCUCUGUGAUAGGCAUCAGGCUAAGUACCAAUUUUUUUUUAAUUAAGUAUAUUUUUAACUUAUAUAUAAAAAACU